GAUCACACUCUUCUACAUAACCUUUAAUAUCGUACUGGUCUCAGGUUCCUCUCUCAGUCACAAAGUCCAGCAGAGUCCAGCUAACAUUUACAAGAAACCAGCAGAAACAGCCAAAAUCAGCUGUUCACACAGUAUUGACAACUAUGAUCGAAUCUUCUGGUACAAGCA